GCUCCCCGAUCCCUCCCACAUUCCCUCCCCUCACGGCCACCCACCCCUUCCCUCGCUCUCCUCUCUCCCUCCCACGACAAAAUCCAGCCUGCUCCAAGAUCCCCACGCUCUACUCCUCCCUCCCUCCCUCCCCUCUGGCAAGAUCGAGCGCGCAGCCUCCCUCUCCUCGGUCCAGAUCGACAGGUCCACCACCUACACUUCCGACGAUCCCCAAUCCGGCGACAGAGAUGGCAGCUCAUGCGCCGGCCAUCUUCCUCGCCCUAGAUGCCGCUGCUCGUCUCCUCUCCGGUGAGAGCGGAGGAGCCACCGCGGUCGAGGCAGCCGCCGUCUGGAGCCCCGCCUCUUCUCCUCCCCAGUCGUCGUGGAGGACCGCCGUGUCCAACCUCCUCGAUGGUGCUGGAACCCUAGGUGGACCAUCUCUUCCUCCCAUGGCCAUGGCCAUGUCGAGCCCGCAAGAUGUGCAGUAGCAAGUCAGACCCCCCACCUUCUUCUUCUUCUUCUACCUACCUCUGGUGUUCUUCCUCUCCACAACCACUGAUGCAAACAUGGUGGGGAAGAUAUUGAUUUCCCAGCCCGCCUGACGGCCUGCUCCUCGCGCGCCCGUGCAGAUCUUCGAGUACAACGGGUCCGCACCCUGCAGCCGCCGGUCCGGGACGAGCGCAGCGCCGGUUCGGGUGUCCUGCACCAAACAGAGCACGCCCCAGGUGCUCGAUGGAACGUCUGCUGCACCACUUUCUCUCAACUUUGUUGCCCUUUGCCAAGCUGAGGGAGAGGGCUAGGCAGGUGCUUUGCUCUUGCACAUGGUGUGUGUCUCCGGCACAGCGGUGCUUCUUGAGGCGACCGGUGGGACGGCGGUUGUGUAUGUCGGCGACAACAAGCUCUCUGGGAGCUCCGCAUCUGAGUCUCGGCCAUGCUCCACAGCAAGGAGCUGGGCCAGGGGAGAAAGCAGCGAUGUUGGUUCCUUGAGGCCGGAUCAAGAAUUUUACUAUGUUUUGUGUUCUUCAUGUGAUUUGAUUUUCAGAAGUUGGAAGAAGAGGACGAUGAAGCAUGGAGUUUUCUAUUAAUCUACCUCUUGUUCUGGUUGUACUCUGUAGCUAGUUAUAUUGUAAUCGGUAGUAGUCAGUAGAUCUAUUUCUAUGAAUACUAUGUAAAGACUGUAAUAGGCUAAUUUUGCAUAUCAUUUCAAGAAUUUAGUUUUGUUCCAUUUGAAA